rnacentral:rRNA from 1 species
UACGUAGGGUGCGAGCGUUGUCCGGAAUUAUUGGGCGUAAAGAGCUCGUAGGCGGUUUGUUGCGUCUAUCGUGAAAACCUGCAGCUUAACUGUGGGCUUGCGGUGGAUACGGGCAGACUUGAGUUCGGUAGGGGAGUGUGGAAUUCCUGGUGGAGCGGUGAAAUGCGCAGAUAUCAGGAGGAACACCCGUAGCGAAGGCGGCACUCUGGGCCGGAACUGACGCUGAGGAGCGAAAGCGUGGGGAGCGAACAGG